rnacentral:lncRNA from 1 species
AUUUAAGGGCGCUGAUGAUAUUUUCUCAAAUAUUGAGAGUGGAGAUGUUAUUUUCCGCAUCUAAUUUGACACGAUAUAAUUAAAACAAUUUAUUUUUUUUCUUUUAGAAAAUGAUACGUCACGAGAGAAAGAACCUUUUGUGGUGAGUAUGACAAGUAUUACGGUUGAUGACUUGACGUAGAAUUAAAUGUUUGGGAUUCACAAUCACAAGUAAAAUCACACGUGGCAUAAAUUUGGUCUAAAACAGCAAGCAGACAAAUGGCCAGAUAAGAACCAUUAGUUGAGCCUCAACUAAUUUCAAAAUGAGGUAUUAAAAGAGCUGCGUAACAAAUCUACGUCAAAAACCAAUCCAAAAGGGAAAAGCAGAUAUACACUUCUAUAUAUAUAUAUAUAUAUAUAUAAACCUAUCCAAAAGGGAAAAGCAGAUAUACACUUCUAUAUAAACGAAUGUAUGUAUGUAUGUGUGUGUGUAUAUAUAUUGUGUAUAUACACACACAAUGUAUAUACACACACAUAUAAAUAUAUAUGUCGAAAAGAAAAUAUAUGUAAACAAUGUAAAAAAGAUAAAAAAAUUUAUCAAUGUCAACUCUAGUUCCUCGGAUUUAAAAAUGAAUCCGAAAAUUUUUAAUUUGUGGGUUAGAAAGGACAAAUAAUGUAACAUUUAGGUAUCUAAUAUAUUGUUUCUAAACUCUAAUGAGAGAAACAAGAGCCACGCUCACUUUGUUUUUCCUAUUUUAAUGUUUAGUGCUUGAAAAAGUUGUUUAAUUUUUUUUUUUUUGACUUUUGAAAAACUAGUCACAUUUUUUCUUCCAUUUUUUUUUGGAAGUUGGUUAUAAGUGCCAUUUUUUUUUUUGUUAUUUUUAUUUUAGUGAGUAAAAAUUUUAAUAAUAAAAUAACUCGAGUUUGCCUAGUUAGUAUGCAGAAACGAGAAGAGGAAAACGAGAUUGUAUUGUUUAAUUAAGUUAUGUUUAAUUAAACUGCAAAAAAAAAAAAUCAUAUAAAAAAUUAUACCAAACAAACUCUAAUUUUGAAUUUAAAUCCUCUUACGUCUUACACAUUUUUACAAAAAAAUUAAAUUUUGUAUUUAAACCU